rnacentral:rRNA from 1 species
UACGUAGGGUGCAAGCGUUAUCCGGAAUUAUUGGGCGUAAAGAGCUCGUAGGCGGUUUGUCGCGUCUGCUGUGAAAACUGGGGGCUCAACUCCCAGCCUGCAGUGGGUACGGGCAGACUAGAGUGCGGUAGGGGAGAUUGGAAUCCUGGUGUAGCGGUGGAAUGCGCAGAUAUCAGGAGGAACACCCGUGGCUAAGGCGGCUCUCUAGUACGGUACUGACGCUGAGACGCGAAAAGCGUGGGGAGCGAACAGG